CACGGUCUUGCUCUCUUAACUCCCAGAUCUUUGUUUCGGUGGUGACGGCCAGAAAGAGCAAGAGAGCGCUGUGCUCUCACUUCCCCCUGGCUUUCCUUUAAAACACACACACACACGCACACUCCUCUUCCAACUUUCCCUCCUGUUAUUCACUUCUCAACCCUGCUGGCAGCGUUUGCCGAAAAUCUACCCGCUCCAGCUUUGGCACACGUCGACGAAACUCAUUUCUGAGCAAUUUUGCAAAAGAUCUCAGGCCAGACUUACAGUUCAUUGGAAUUAGCAAUAAAAGACAUGUCUAGAAGCCAGUUUGUUGGGGAGAAUUACUACAAUGAGCACUUCUUGUCAUAACUAUUCACAACCAUUCCGGUUAGUGUUUGUGAAUCCUAUUGUUUAAAUCUCGAAACUAAAAGAUAAAAGCAAUGCAUUACGUAAGUGGCCUGAUGUAAUAUUUACGUAACUAUGUGAUGCAAAAGACUGCGCAACAUGUUCUGAAUUUGCACC